rnacentral:rRNA from 1 species
UACGGAGGGUGCAAACGUUGCUCGGAAUCAUUGGGCGUAAAGCGCACGUAGGCGGCCUGAUAAGUCGGGUGUGAAAGCCCUGGGCUCAACCCAGGAAGUGCACUCGAAACUGUCAGGCUUGAAUAUGGAAGAGGGUCGCGGAAUUCCCGGUGUAGAGGUGAAAAUUCGUAGAUAUCGGGAGGAACACCAGUGGCGAAGGCGGCGACCUGGGCCAAUAUUGACGCUGAGGUGCGAAAGCGUGGGGAGCAAACAGG